rnacentral:lncRNA from 10 species
CAAAAGGAAGCCGGGUGCAGUGGCUCACCCCAUUUAGAUUAUUUUUAAAAGACAGGGAAUGUUCUUCAUUAAUGCAACUAAGCAUACACAUUUACUAUGUUGUAUAGUAUUUCAUAUUUUAAAAAACAGAAAUGCAAACACUGCGGAAUCAGUAGAGACUUCUUUCACUAACCUUUAACAAUCAUGAAUCUCACUCAUUGCCCUUUUCCUCUUCCCCACGAUACUUUGCAACACUUUACACGUCUCCUUGGCGUGGUCAUCUAUGUGAUCUUCCUUGACUCUGUAAAAUGUCUCUCUCUUUUUCUCUAAUUAACAUGGACUUUUUUUUUUUUUUAAUUGCAACAGCUUUUGGUAAUUUUAGGACAGGUCUUGCUUCUUUUCUUUCAGUGGUCAGAAAAAGACCACGUUUAUCCAAGCCCUGUGCCUAUGCUAUAGCUCUCUAAUCAAGAAAUGUUUCUUUCAACUGACCACGGCUCCUAACUUUAUCUCUUUGUCCUUUGAAGCCGAUAGCUAUUAUUUCUAACGACCAUCACUAAUUCAAGAAUAAACACUCUGUUUUCUCCCAAAUUGCUACAUUCUGUUAAAGGGAACUAGAAUUAAAAUCCCAAUUUCUAUCAGCACUCUAUUUUAUGAAAGGGUACUAAAGUAGGAUGCCACAAGGCUUGAGAGCAGAAGCAAAGCGUGACUUCUCUGUGCUCCCUGAGUGGCCCCUUCUCCCACUGUGACGGUCAAGUCCACCUACUUACGGGUGUUCUCAGAUUGACUCUACGUGGUGAAUGAGGACUCAAAGAUAAGGACUGCUACCUUUCUUUUUUCUUUUUCUUUGUUUGUUUGGGGGCAUGGACGGCUACUGUUUUUUU